rnacentral:rRNA from 1 species
GAUCAUGGCUCAGGAUGAACGCUAGCUACAGGCUUAACACAUGCAAGUCGAGGGGCAGCAUGGUCUUAGCUUGCUAAGACUGAUGGCGACCGGCGCACGGGUGAGUAACACGUAUCCAACCUGCCGUCUACUCUUGGACAGCCUUCUGAAAGGAAGAUUAAUACAAGAUGGCAUCAUGAGUCCGCAUGUUCACAUGAUUAAAGGUUUACCGGUGUAAGAUGGGGA